rnacentral:rRNA from 1 species
AGAGUUUGAUUAUGGCUCAGAACGAACGCUGGCGGCGCGUUUUAAGCAUGCAAGUCGAGCGGCAAGGGUCUUCGGGCCCCUAGAGCGGCGGACGGGUGAGUAACACGUGGACAAUCUGCCCCCCGGCCGGGGAUAGCCCAGGGAAACCUGGAUUAAUACCGGAUGAGACGGGACCCGCGGAGGCGGGAUCCGGGAAAGGCGCUGCGGCGCCGCCGGGGGAUGAGUCUGCGUCCCAUUAGCUUGACGGCGGGGUAACGGCCCACCGUGGCGACGAUGGGUAGCCGGCCUGAGAGGGUGUACGGCCACAUUGGAACUGAGACACGGUCCAGACUCCUACGGGAGGCAGCAGCUAAGAAUCUUCCGCAAUGGGCGAAAGCCUGACGGAGCGACGCCGCGUGAACGAAGAAGGCCGUGAGGUUGUAAAGUUCUUUUCGGGAGGGGGAACAACCGUGGCAGGGAAUGGCCGCGGGAUGACGUGAAUCCCGGAAUAAGCCCCGGCUAACUACGUGCCAGCAGCCGCGGUAACACGUAGGGGGCGAGCGUUGUUCGGAAUCAUUGGGCGUAAAGGGCGUGCAGGCGGUCCUGCAAGUCCGGCGUGAAAGACCCCGGCCCAACCGGGGGGGCGCGCUGGAAACUGCAGGGCUUGAGUACAGGAGGGGAUGCCGGAAUUCCAGGUGUAGGGGUGAAAUCUGUAGAUAUCUGGAGGAACACCAAUGGCGAAGGCAGGCAUCUGGCCAUGUACUGACGCUGAGACGCGAAGGUGCGGGGAGCAAACAGGAUUAGAUACCCUGGUAGUC